CUGCAUUAGCGGUAGUAGCGGCAUCCUUUUUUUGCUUCUAUAUAUAAUGACACAGAAAGAACAUCGUAUAUAUGAUGACGUAUUCUCCCUUAAAAUAAAACUAGUAAAAAAAGAUAUAGCGGAUGACGCGACGCUUU
rnacentral:sRNA from 1 species